GAAACGGUNGCUAAUACCGCAUAACGUCGCAAGACCAAAGCGGGGGACCUUCGGGCCUCGCGCCAUCAGAUGAACCCAGAUGGGAUUAGCUAGUAGGUGGGGUAAUGGCUCACCUAGGCGACGAUCCCUAGCUGGUCUGAGAGGAUGACCAGCCACACUGGAACUGAGACACGGUCCAGACUCCUACGGGAGGCAGCAGUGGGGAAUAUUGCACAAUGGGGGAAACCCUGAUGCAGCCAUGCCGCGUGUAUGAAGAAGGCCUUCGGGUUGUAAAGUACUUUCAGCGAGGAGGAAGGCGGUAAGGUUAAUAACCUUACCGAUUGACGUUACUCGCAGAAGAAGCACCGGCUAACUCCGUGCCAGCAGCCGCGGUAAUACG
rnacentral:rRNA from 1 species